rnacentral:rRNA from 1 species
UACAGAGACUGCAAGCGUUAUUCGGAUUCACUGGGCGUAAAGGGUGCGCAGGCGGCCGUGUGUGUGAGGCGUGAAAGCCCGGAGCUCAACUCCGGAAUUGCACCUCAAACUACAUGGCUAGAGCAUUGGAGAGGGAAGCGGAAUUCACGGUGUAGCAGUGAAAUGCGUAGAUAUCGAGAGGAACACCUGCGGCGAAGGCGGGUUGCUGGGCUGACACUGACGCUGAGGCGCGAAAGCUAGGGGAGCGAACGGG